CCUACGGGUGGCUGCAGUGAGGAAUAUUGGUCAAUGGCCGCAAGCCUGAACCAGCCAAGUCGCGUGAAGGACGACUGCCCUAUGGGUUGUAAACCUCUUUUAUAAAGGAAUAAUGAGUGCUACGUGUGCCCUUAUGCCUGUACCUUAUGAAUAAGCAUCGGCUAACUCCGUGCCGGCAGCCGCGGUAAUACGGAGGAUGCGAGCGUUAUCCGGAUUUAUUGGGUUUAAAGGGUGCGUAGGCGGUUUAUUAAGUUAGUGUUUAAACGUUGGGGCCUACCAUGGAUUUGCCAUUAAUACUGGAAGACUUGAGUUCAGACGAGGUAGGCGGAAUAAGUUAAGUAGCGGUGAAAUGCUUAGAUAUAACGUAGAACUCCGAUAGCGAAGGCAGCUUACUAGACUGCGACUGACGCUGAAGCACGAGAGCGUGGGUAGCGAACAGGAUUAGAUACCCCAGUAGUC
rnacentral:rRNA from 1 species